GCUAACGUUACAUUGAGCAACUAUUGUCAUUUUUUUUCAGGUCAACCGGGACUGCCUAUACUUAACUGACCACACUAACGUGGCCUUGUUCCCCAUGCCGGACGGGUCAUUCAAUAUAUUUGCUCUGAGCCAAACUGCCACUACGAGGUUUGUGGCGAGUCUGAGACUGAGAGCCAGAGCCAGCCAACCCCAACCCCCGCUCCUUAUCGCUUCUCUUUUCACCGCACAGCUAGCACCAGUAAGUUUCCUAUAUAAUAACAAUAAUCGACUUUACACAUCUGAAUACAUACAUUGCACAUACAAUACUUGCCUGUGCUAUUAUAGUCAUGUUGAUAUCACAUUGAUUUCACACGUCCAUAUUGUUAGAAUGUUAAAGUAAUAGUUUUGUAGAUUAUCAGAUUGUCAUUACAAGGUUUUUAACUUAAACUGUUUUAAAGACCAAAUAAACUGUUAGAUUGUCGAACUUUAAUUGAAUUCCAAUAUACCUGUACAUGUAUUUGUAUAUAGCAACUAAAACUUUUAUUCAAUCAUUCAUUCAGGUUCUGCAGGAACUCCCACCGUUGCUCCAAGGGCCUCUGCUGUAAAAACCUUCCAAAG